rnacentral:rRNA from 1 species
UACGAACUGUGCGAACGUUAUUCGGAAUCACUGGGCUUAAAGGGUGCGUAGGCGGCUGUUUAAGUAGGGUGUGAAAGCCCCCGGCUCAACCGGGGAAUUGCGCCCUAAACUGGACAGCUUGAGUGAGGUAGGGGUGUACGGAACUUCCGGUGGAGCGGUGAAAUGUGUUGAUAUCGGAAGGAACGCCGGUAGCGAAAGCGGUACACUGGGUCUCAACUGACGCUGAGGCACGAAAGCCAGGGGAGCGAACGGG